UGUACGUUUUAGUAGGAAAACGUAUUACGUGACCCACACUCCGGAACAGAAGAGGGCGGUAAUGCACCAAUAAGCUGGAUGCCAACCGCCGUUAAACUGGAAGGAAGAUGAAUAUGACAGCUUGCUGUGAGAGACAACGGGACAGAUGAGACACAUGUGUGUUUAUCUGCUGUAGAGUAACUGAUGAAGGAAUGCUGCCAUCAAAGGAUUUGUAUCUUUUGUGGUGGAGCAGGACCUGCAAGGAAAGAUGAAAAAGAGGAAAAACCUGAAACAAAAGAAUAAUGUAAUGACUUUUUGUAUUGUGUAUGUGUAUUUUUGUAGGAUAUGAAAAUGUCUGUAGACUGGUGUGUGCACUGAGGAUGGAGAAGACUACAGCAUCAUCCUGGAAAUGAUCGAGAGUCACAGAUGAGACACUCCAUCACUCCAGCUCUUACUGUCUCAUCAGGACCAGAUGCUGCUGUGGUGUCUUCAUCCUUAGUGACCCCAGAGCCAGUGAGAGCAUCUAGAGAAAGACCACAAGACACUGAGGAUGUGAUUUUGGUAGUCGUGCUCAUGGGGUGCAGGCACAUGAAAGUUCGGAGCAGACACAGAGGUCAGAUUGUCCUGCAAGUGUUGUUCUUCUCUCGCUUCAAGGUUGUGUGGUUCAGAGAGCCGUCAUCAUGGUCUUCCUCAUCCUGUUGCUCAACGACAUCCCUGUUGAGAAGAGUGAGAUUGUGAAGUGCAGCAGCAGAACUGUAUCAGCUGUGUUCAGAUCUCAGGAGGAUGUUGGGUUCACCAUCUCUAAAUACUUGAUUGUUAGAACAAUAAGUUUGAAUGAAGCUUUGUAUCAUGUGUUGUUGACUUGUGCAUGUAUGCAUUUAUUGUGAUGAUAACUUUUAUACAUUAUUUUAAUCAUUUAGACAUGUUUUUUUGUUCUUAGUAAAUAAAAUAUAAAUAUUUUAUAUGUAUUAAUUGCUUGACUGAAAAUGGAUGUAUUCACAUCGACUGCAUUUAUUUAACUAGUAUAUAUUCAUGUAUAGCUGUGUCACAAAAGAAAAUACAUUUGGCUUUUUUUACUAAAAUGUCAUUUUAAGAAAAAAAAUAUAUAAUUAUUGGUUGGCAUUUAUCGUUAUUAUUGCAUGGUAAGUGUUGGGGUGGGCAAAAGAUGCAAUUCAUUAUGGGGUAAUGUUAAUUUUCGAGUAGUAAUACUUACAUUUUUAGAGUGUCAAAUCAACAGUCUUCUCCAAAGGUGAGAUCUUCGAGCAGCUGAUCGAAGUACCCUUUGUGCAGAUAUCGCAGAGUCGCUGUGAGGUGUUUGUGCACCUGACCCACUUUUUUAUUAUUAUUGCCAAAUUAUUACAUAAAAGAUCAUGGUAAGAGGUUGUAUCUGACAAUAAACAAUAAUAAUGCGAUAAAACAGUAAAUACUAUAAAAGAAAAACGUUUUUCACGUAAAAUUAUUUAAAAAAAAUAUUCAAGAGAUAACGAUUUUGGGUUUUCUAAUAAAAAAAUGCUUUAAGGAUAACACUUGAUCACAUUAGUGGAGUUAAAAAUACAAUAUCGGCUAUACUACAAUCACAAAAUAAAAAGGCAGCCGUUUCUGCAACAUGUUCUUCAU